CUGGAGAACAGUCACUUCUCAGCUCCUCUGAUGCAUUGGCGUGGGUGAACAAGUUAGAGCUUGCCAGGAAAUCAGUGAAGCAACACAUAUGCAGCUGCUAGAAGAGGAGUGUAAAGGAGAGCUGGUGGCUUUGGAAGGUUGCUGUUUAUAUGUCUGCUGAAGGAUAGGGGAUCCUAUUCAUCAGUGGCAUUUGGAAAUAGAGCUGGAUGCAGAGUGGAGAGUGAUAACAAGCUGAAUCCACUGGAUGAACUUCAAAGAGUAAUGGCUGCUGCUUCAUUUCUGCUUUCCAAAUCACAUUGGAUUAUCUUUUGACCACCUCUGAGAACCAUAUGGGGAAAGAGGAUUCUGGGCAAUAUUGUUCCAGGUCAAACAAGCUGAUAAACUACAAGCUGAUAAACUACAAAACAACCGCACUCCAGCUCAUGUCAGCUUGGUGUCAUUCACAUCUCUUUUAUCCAUAUUUGCAUCUAAUAGCAGUUCUCUCUCUUGCUGCCAUGUGAAGAAGAAAGUUCUUGCUUCCCCUUCUGCUGAGAUUAUAAGUUUCCUGAGGCCUCCCCAGCCACGCUGAACUGUGAGUCAAUUAAACUUCUUUCCUUUAUAAAUUACUCAGUCUCGAGUAUGUCUUUAUUAAAAGUGUGAGAACUAACUAAUACAGUAAAUUGGUACUGCAGAGAGUGGGACAUUGCUGUAAAGAUACCUGAAAAUGUGGAAGCGAAUUUGGAACUGG
rnacentral:lncRNA from 10 species